UCCGGGAAACCGGAGCUAAUACCGGAUAGUUCCUUGAACCGCAUGGUUCAAGGAUGAAAGACGGUUUCGGCUGUCACUUACAGAUGGACCCGCGGCGCAUUAGCUAGUUGGUGGGGUAAUGGCUCACCAAGGCGACGAUGCGUAGCCGACCUGAGAGGGUGAUCGGCCACACUGGGACUGAGACACGGCCCAGACUCCUACGGGAGGCAGCAGUAGGGAAUCUUCCGCAAUGGACGAAAGUCUGACGGAGCAACGCCGCGUGAGUGAUGAAGGUUUUCGGAUCGUAAAGCUCUGUUGUUAGGGAAGAACAAGUGCGAGAGUAACUGCUCGCACCUUGACGGUACCUAACCAGAAAGCCACGGCUAACUACGUGCCAGCAGCCGCGGUAAUACGUAGGUGGCAAGCGUUGUCCGGAAUUAUUGGGCGUAAAGGGCUCGCAGGCGGUUUCUUAAGUCUGAUGUGAAAGCCCGCGGCUCAACCGGGGAGGGUCAUUGGAAACUGGGAAACUUGAGUGCAGAAGAGGAGAGUGCAAUUCCACGUGUAGCGGUGAAAUGCGUAGAGAUGUGAAGGAACACCAUUGACGAAGGCA
rnacentral:rRNA from 1 species